UGAGACAGGUUAGUUUUACCCUACUGUAGAUUUGUCGAUGCAAUAGUAACUGAACUCAGUACGAGAGGAACCGUUCAUUCGAAUAUUUGGUCCUUGGCGUUGCCUGAACAGACAAUGCGCCGAAGCUACCAUUCGUAGGAUUAUGACUGAACGCCUCUAAGUCAGAAUCCAUGCUAGACGCAUCGAUCCCUCCUUCCAAGAUUACAGGCGAAUACCUAUAGACCUUUGUGUCUUACAUCCCACGAGCCGUUCUAAAUGAACUUUGGAGCGAUGCUAAUUGCAAUAUUUUGGAAGAUAAAUCCUUUGCAGACGACUUAAACUUGGAACGGGGUAUUGUAAAUAGUCGAGAGGCCUUGUUGCCUCGAGCUAUUGAGAUUCAUCCUCAG
rnacentral:rRNA from 12 species